UACGCGGGGGGCAACUGUUGUUCGGAAUCACUGGGCGUAAAGGGAGCGUAGGCGGGUUUUUAAGUCAGGUGUUUAAUCCCGGGGCCCAACCCCGGACAGGCACUUGAAACUGGGAAUCUUGAAUAGUGGAGAGGUCAGUGGAAUUGGGGGUGUAGCGGUGGAAUGCGUAGAGAUCCCCAAGAACACCCGUUGCGAAGGCGGCUGACUGGACACAUAUUGACGCUGAGGCUCGAGAGCAUGGGGAGCAAACAGG
rnacentral:rRNA from 1 species